rnacentral:misc_RNA from 1 species
CACCACUCAAGCACUGCUUGGUAUUGGGCAUCGUCCGUCGAAAGACGGGCGUGCCUCGAAGACCUCGGCGGGGCCUAACCGGCUUCGGGCGUAGUAGAGUUAAAUCGAACGUCUUAUGAGUCUGGUUAGAACCCAUUGCCGUAAAACCUUUUAUUUUCUA